CGGAACGGGGCGGGGCCAGCGGCGCCCUCAGGGCUCCGGCCGAGGCCCGCAAGGGCUCGGCUGCGGCUCCGUAAGCACAGCCGGCGGUAACGACCCGCAUCCACGCCUCGGAACGCAGCAAACAAGCUCAUUUAAAAAGAAAGGAUGGCAAUAUUGUUAAGAGAGGGUUACUCUGACUAAAAGAAGGUGUCCUUAAGAAGUAUAAUUAAAGCACUUGUUUCAAGUGUCUCUGACAAGCAUUGAGUGAAACAAAUCCUCUUGAGAAUGACCUGCAUCCACAAGGACUGAGUGAGAAUUUCGACUGCAAGAUUUGUAAGGCUUCUGUGGUUACAAUAAGCUUGCAAGCUGUUAUCCCUCUCCUCUCCAUUCCUCAUAGGGGGUUUUGGAAGGAGACUGGAAUGACUUGAGAAUUCAUUUCCAAAGACAACAGCUUUUGAGAAGACAUGAAUUUAAACCACCUCUCUAGAUACUAAAUACUGUUUAAAUCUGUAGGAUACACUGACAAAAAUUUGACACUGAAAUAAAUACGCUUUUAACCAAGAAACUUUCUACCUUGUGACAGUUUUAGUUGAUGAAGUGCCUAUUCACAAUGUACUUCAGUAUUUUUCAGUCAAUACAGACAUUUCAGCAGACAGCAUCAGUGAAGCUGACAUGACCAGGCAACACCACCUUCUCCUGGCCCAUGACACACCUGCAGCUCCUUCACAAAAGAUUCCAUUACUACCGCGUGUAAUCUAACCUCGAGGUGUGACACAAAUAACUGCUGGAAGUUUUAAACUCUCGUUAGAGCAUUCAGGGUAUGAUGCAACAAAGCUGCUGAAACAGACACAGGCUCUAAUAUCCUAGUGGGCUGCAGUCUGGAGUGUAGCUGCUGUCUCUCUGUACAACGUUCCUCUCAGCAACUGGGGCUGUUCUUCAUUUGUUUACUGAAGAACGUGGCUCUGCCAUAUUACACCGAGCAAGAACAUUCAAGCAAAUCCAGAGUCUACUCACACCAGUUUUUAAUGACACUUUCUCCAGAAUCUCUUUGCCACUUCUGAAUUUACCCCGUUGCAGAAAUCAUCAGGAAAUGUCACAUCGAGGCCACUGGCCCCAAUAUCCCUAUUUCAGCUGUGCACAGCAAUAAUGAGAUAGAGCAAGAUGCAAACCUGAUGGCGUGGAUGCAAGGUAACUUGGCAUUGAUAUUAUCUCUGUUGUGUGAAUACAUCCUGCCUAUCAAUCUCCUUGAAACUCUGAUACAGAAACUACUGCAACAAAAGGACUUUGAUCUUGAGAUGAAAGUAUCUGAACUGCAGACUUGAGUAAACCUCCAGAGACAUGAGCAGUUUUCCCUCACCUGACAUCCAUAUGCUCUCAGAGUCUACGCAGGUAUCACUGGAGACAGUGGAUUAAUUGUUACUUGAGAGUUAAAUUGUGGAGCUGACAGCAGCUGGAUGUCUACUGAAACAAGCAGCCAUCUGCAGGGGGCAUGAGGCUUUGCCCAGCACGGCUGUGCCCUCAGUGCCACAUUCCCCCAGUUUGUGUCCCCUAUUACAAUGCAGACAACACAGGGUUUGUGUGUCACACCCUCCAGCAGGCUGUCAUCAGGACUGUUAGUGUUUUCAUCUGGUUUUCUUAAGACCCAAGUUUAUGGUUUCUACUUUAUUACUGCAUUCACAAAUGCUUUUGACGAAAGGAUCAUCAUCUUGUUUGACAGCAGAAUUGUGCUGAUGUUAAAAUGGCUAAUUUUUAUCUGGAUGGGAGGGAAAAAACUUGCACCGAUGCGGUCUUCAUUUCUUUACCAAAGUAGUUUAGAACUGUAGUGAGUAGGGAUUCAGCAUUUUCCCAUCACUGCUUUUCUUUCAAAUGAAAACCCAAUCCAAGUGAUAUUUCAGCACUUAACUUGUUCCACAUUUUAAUUAAAACACUUUAGAAGACUUA